GGUCCGGUUCGAUAGUGUAGCUGGUUUAUCACGCAAGUCUAACAGUCCUCUACUGUUGAGUACACUUGAGGUCCCAGGUUCGAGCCCUGGUCGAAUCAC